UCUAAAUUCUAAAAUUAAUCUCUAAAUCAACAUAACAUCCUAGCUCUAAAAUUAAUUCAACAUUUCCAAUCAAAUUCACUAAUUCUAAAAUCAGUUUUUAAUAUUUCUAAUUAAUCUAAUUCUAGACCUAACCUCUAAUUUAAUCCAAAAACUCCUAAUAUCUUCUAAGUAAAUCCUAAUGCUAAAAUUAAUUGCUAAUUUGAUUAAUUCUAAUUGGAUUCUACCUAAACUAAUAAAACUAACAAUAAUAAAAAACGUGGGCCUUGUAAUUGGGGGAAACAGGUCCAAACGGGGGGUGCAGGCCCAUUCGCAGGGGUGCAAGGUGAGGUUAUUGGGUUGGGCCGAAGCCGGGCCCAUACUGAGCAAGGCAAUGGAAUGAGAGAGCAAGUUCAGUCUCUCACGGUUCUAGUGCAUAUCAAAGCUGGCUCCAAACGUGAUUCUCCCAAAAGCACUUCCUAGAAGCGCUUCUCUCCUCUCACCGGCGUUGACAUUAACGCCUCCAAAUCCCCCGUUCACACGAACUCAGACAAAACUCUCCCGGAGCUAAACAAAUCUCGAAACGUCGAAACCGAAUCCUAAUACGCAAGCUCAUGAACUAAACGGCGAUGGAGAAAAGUCACAUACCGUAAUGGCUUUCGCAACGUUCACCGACGAGAAGCGGACCGAGAGCUUUCAGAUCUACUUCUCCUGUUCUUCUUCUACUUCAAUCUUCCUCGCCGUUCUCUGGUGCCUUGAAUCGCGGCGUUCAUGUAUCUUGAAUCGUAAUCGUGGAAGGUGCGGUUCGAUCGUUGGAUUCGAGAGGAUUCACUGAGGCAAGGGACACCACGGAUUGGGAACGGAAUCAAAGUCCAGCAAGAACAACCAACGAAUUCGCCGGCAAAGACGACCGACGCAACGACGAUGUUAGUGGAAGCUCGUCUCAGAAUCGGCUAAACCGAGAGCGAGGAGGGAGAGCGUACUCGUGGCGCAAUGGAAAUCAUGAUCGAAGCCGCGGUUUCACUGUCUCGUGUAUUUACCUACUUCUGUUGCAAGUUCUUGGAUGAGGUUUAUGAAUGAUGCUUAGAAACUCCUUCUGUUACCAAUUCUUCAUCCUCUUCUGAGAUUUUGAAAUCUCAUUGUUCUCGUGUAAAUCACUGUGGAAGGUUGAAUAACGGUUUUGGAAGUUUGUUGCGGAUUGUUGGAAUGUGGUGAAGGAUUGAGGUUGAAGAAAUGGCAGAGGAUUGAAGGUUGGUGCGGUGUGGUGGUUGAUUGAUGAUGGUUGAAAUUGAAGAAGAUUAUGUUUUUUGGAAUUUGGAGUUUGGUGAAGGUUUUGAUGAAGAAGUUGGGUGGUGAAUGAGAGUGUGGUUGAAGGUUUGUUACAGGUUGAAGAAGAAUCUGGAAAAGUUUGUUAGAGGUUGAAGGAGAAGCUGGAAAAGUUUGUUAGAGGUUGAAGGAUUGAGGGCAAACACGAUUCUGGAAUGAGAGGGAAAAUUUUUCUGAAAAAAUGAUUGGCAAAUGAUUGCAGCUUAUAUAGCAGGAUCUAAGGGGCAAA